UCCCUAUGGGGUGCAGCAGUCGCGAAAAUUUUGCAAUACACGAAAGUGUGACAGAGCUAUCCCGAGUGCCAUCCGCUGAGGAAGGCUUUUACCCAGUAUAAAUAGCUGGGAGAAUAAGGAGAGGGCAAGUCUGGUGUCAGCCGCCGCGGUAAUACCAGCACCCCGAGUGGUCGGGACGAUUAUUGGGCCUAGAGCAUCCGUAGCUUGCUAGAUAAGUCCCCUGUUAAAUCCACCGAUUCAAUCGUUGGAUUGCGGGGGAUACUGUUUGGCUAGGGGACGGGAGAGGUCGACGGUAUUUCCGGGGUAGGGGUGAAAUCCUAUAAUCCCGGGAAGACCACCAGUGGCGAAGGCUGUCGACUAGAACGCGCCCGACGGUGAGGGAUGAAAGCUGGGGGAGCGAACCGGAUUAGAUACCCGGGUAGUCCCAGCUGUAAACGAUGCAGGCUAGGUGUUUGGGCGGCCACGAGCCGCCCUAGUGCCGCAGGGAAGCUGUUAGGCCUGCCGCCUGGGGAGUACGGCCGCAAGGCUGAAACUUAAAGGAAUUGGCGGGGGAGCACCACAAGGGGUGAAGCUUGCGGUUUAAUUGGAUUCAACGCCGGAA
rnacentral:rRNA from 1 species